GUCCCACAUCAGCCGCAGACCUCAAGGACACUGCCUCUCAGCCCAGGCCCCUUAGGUUCUUCAGAAAAAAGAAUUUAAGUCAAGACACGAUUUGUUUUCAGGUUGCAAGUAACGGGUCAGCUGAGCGUCGCGCCGUCCUCCUGCCCCAGCCGCUGGUGUAUGGUAGACGGGGCUGCUGGGGUGGAAGCCCAGCCGCUCCCGGGCCCAGGCCUACUGCCUGCUGUUGUUGUCGGACAGCUGGCUGGGGGUCCGCGCCUCAGCCAGGGAGGUGGUGCCCUCGAAGCGCUGCGAGGCGAUGGCUGCCUGGUGGGACAUGCUCUUCCUUACGAUGUCACCUUUCCGCCACAACACCACUUCCUGCAGAAUUGGGUGGGGGGGGAUGUGACACCCUGAGAGAGGCGUGUGGGGGGGCCCAGGGGCUCCAGCCCUCCCCGGGCAUCUUGGCAAAACCUCCUGCAGGUCAGCAGCUGCCUGUCUGCACCCCCCCGCCCGGGGCUCCCAAUGGGGGCACGAAGGGCAGAGGGGUCGCAGGCCUGGGCCUGGGCAAGCGGACUCAACGUGUCACAUGGGAACCCUGGUUCUCACCGCGGGCUCAGCCUCCGUGGACCACCAGGGGGCGUGGAGACGAGCAAACUCUCCAGGCCCUGCCCUUCCUGUCAGGGUCUCACCUGCUGUUUGAAAUAGCGCCGCUCCUCCUCAUCUAUGAGCACCAGGUUGAGGUAAUAGCGCACUGAGAACUUCUUGUUGAUGUCCCGCAUGGUGGGGGUGAGCUCGUAGCCCGCCAGGAAGAGCCGGAUUGGGAUGGACUCUCCUGUGAGGGCCAGGCACACGUCAGGGAAGGGGCAACGGAGCCCACCCUCCUGACACCAGCAGGGGAGGCGCCCCGAGCAUCUCACGGCACACUUGAGGCAACGUUCCUGCCUGUCGGGGACUCGCAGUCGGCAGCUCAGUGACCUGCUGAAGCAAAACCUGACACUGCGCUGCUCCCCGUCCAGGUCCCGCUGCACCUUCUCUCACCGCCGGGAAACCAAGAUCCGUGCGUAGGAAGAGCGCAGGACGCUACGGCCAAGCACCCUUAAGGGGACGUGUCACCGUCUAGUUGUCGGGUGUUCACAGGCCCAGGGUCAAACUCACUCCUGUCACCCAGCAAUUUUGGUGCCACCGUCCUCCACCCUAAAUACUGCAUGUUCCCCAACAUACACCUCCGCUCCGAGGGAAAACAGCAGCGGCUCUCCCUGCAGAGCCGGUGAAAACAUGGCACACCCGGGGAGUCAGGAGCGCUCAGCCCUGUCCCCCAGGGGGCCUGUCCUGGUGACACCCAAGAGCCUGCUAUCCUGGUCUCCUCCUUCCACACGGAACACAGGGGAACAAGCUGAAUAAAACCUUGGCAUAACCGAGCACUUCUGGAGGGAAGAAAACACUCCUCGUGAUCAGUGGCUGCAGAGCUAGCAGCACGUAAAACGACUGCUACUCCCAAAUAACCAGGUUCCCCAAACACCCAGGCUUUCAACUCCAUUCGUUCCAGAUGUCACGUCAGCUCUGGGGGUGGGUGGGGCGGCCGUCUGUCCCGUUCCCUGCUCUGCGGCACCUGCUAGGGCUGCCCAGACUGUCUACACUUGGCAAAUGCAUGCAGGGAGUGGAUCAUUUUGCCAGAACCAGAAGUAAGGAACACACGUGAUUAUUCCACAUUACCCUCUUGGUCCCUAGCAACAGAGAAUGUCAACAGGAAGUAGUGAAAUGUUCCCACUGUAUCUGCUACACCAGCACUUUUCAAGCUUUUGUAGUAGUUGUUUUCUAAGAGGCAUCGCUCCUGAGAUGCCAUCUGUGCUAUGAGCUCCGUAGGCAGACAAGGCCAAUCUCCUGGUGAAGGUGGGGAAGGAGCUCGCACAUAUCAGCCCUUGUCCUCUUUACUGGCACCCAGUGAACUUCCGGAGAUGAGAAAUGACAGGUGAAUAGGGAAUCUUAGUCUAGCACUAAAGUCCCUCGUGCCCUCCAACACUCUGUGGUGCCUGGGGAGCGGGUAAGGCUGCUGCGGGCUGGGUGCCUGGGUGCUCACCUCUCACGGGCGCCCCGUCCAUGAUCUCAUACUUGGCUAUCGUGUCGUUCUCGUGGUACACGUUGGGGCCUGUGCCUGUCGUUUCCCGCUUGAUGAUAUCUAUCUCCAUGUGCUUGAUUUUGAUUCUCACCAACAGGAAGUAGAUCUUUCCUACAAUAACAUCUUUCAAGUGGUAUCUGGGAGAGAGAAAGCCCAGAGAGUAAGAUGUGUCCUGAGUUGUGGGAGGACAGCCCCACCAAUCCAGGUCUUGCUCUUUCUCCCUGAGCUCCACAACAGGUCUUCUGGGAACUGGCCCUCAAUAGCCUGCAGCAGAGCAGUCCAGGGAAGAGCAGGAGAGCAAGAUGCAGGCAUCACUCACACCCCAUCAGCACCUUCUCCCUGCGCCCUGCUCACACGGCUGGUGCUUGGGAGCUGCUGUGGACUUGGCCAUGCCUAACAACGGUUCUGACCCUCCAAGAGUUUCUGAGUCAGCGUGGGGCACCAGUGGUCUGCGCACGCACAGCCCUGUAUCAGGCAGAGACAAAAAUCUUCAAAUCUGAAGCUCAGAUUCAUGGGACAGGGUGUUCCAGGGACUUCAGGAUUUAACCUCCACAUAUUACGGGUGAAGAAGAGGAAGUUCAAAGAAGACAGACACUUGAACCAGGAUCUGAGUAGGGGACAGAGAUGUGAGCCCAGGUACCCAAUUCCUAGGCCUGCGUCCGCCCUAUUUCAUGCUGCCUUUCUUCUUACAGUCUAACUGGGAAACCCGCACUCAGUAGAUAACCUAAGAAUGGAGGCUGCUCCAAGCAUUUAAGAAGGAAUGCUGAGAGAUCAUAGAUUCUAGGGGUUUUCAAACUUUGGUAAACAGAACUUUCCUUUAUUCUAAAUGAAAUGCUAUGUGGAAACAUUAACAUGUGAGAAACCCCAGUGCAGGGCCCACGAUCCUGCGCCCUGCUCUUCUUUCAUUUCAUGUUUUCUAUGUUUAAACCCCACUACCCUGUCUCCACUUUUCAGAGGAGAAAGCCAAGGCACAAACAUGUUAACAUCUGCUGACCUUCACGCAAGGGCAAUCUUAGUGGCAGGAUGGGACUGUGCUCUAGGCCCACCCAGUAGACAGAGCCCUGCCCAGCAUGGCCUGCUCUGAGAGGGCACGAAGGGGCUGAGCAUCCAGCCCGAGCUCAUGGGAUGGACUCUCUUGGCCCUUUCACACCACACUUGGUCUUGAGCACACUGCUGACCGACGGCUUUCUGAGCUCCUACAAGGUGGCACUGCCUCCCGGCCACCCCUUUUUACCAGGCGGCGGGAGCGCUGGCUGGGCAGGCACUGCUGGUGGGCUCCUUUCCAGAGCCCGGAGACUGAGGAGGAAGGCAAAGAAGGCUGUUUGCUCGUAUGUCCCUGCCUGGCCCAGACCAACCUCCCUCCAGCCUGCCCCACCCCAGUCCACAUGUGGGGCCCAGCCAAGCAGGAGCCCUUCUGGGUCAUGAGUGGUUCCAGGCCAGGGGGCAGGGGAACAAACAGGCCCCCCCUCACCCCUGUUCUAGGAAGCACAUACGUUGCUAGUUUUUUGAAAAGCCCUAUUUCCAACCCUUCACAGGAGAGCCAACAGGUCAGCCCCACUGCCCUGAACCCCUGGGUAACAGUGGAUCUGACCUGAGUGUCUGCCCAGUAAGAGCCCUAGACUCCUAAUUUCUUGUUUUAGCUCUGAAUACACUUUUACUUCUGCUGAUUUUCAAACACUUUCAGGAACGUUUGAUACUGAAAAGAAAGAUGCUUGUGGGGACGCCUGGGGGGCUCAGUGGCUCAGUGUCUGCCUUCGGCUCAGGUUGUGAUCCCAGGGUCCCGGGAUCGAGUCCCACGUCGGGCUCCCUGCAGGAAUCCUGCUUCUCCCUCCACCUGUGU